UACAGAGGUCUCAAGCGUUGUUCGGAUUCAUUGGGCGUAAAGGGUGCGUAGGCGGCGCGUAAGUCAGGUGUGAAAUCUCGGGGCUCAACCCCGAAACUGCACUUGAUACUGCGGCGCUCGAGUACUGGAGAGGAGAUUGGAAUUUACGGUGUAGCAGUGAAAUGCGUAGAUAUCGUAAGGAAGACCAGUGGCGAAGGCGAAUCUCUGGACAGUUACUGACACUGAGGCACGAAGGCCAGGGGAGCAAACGGG
rnacentral:rRNA from 1 species